rnacentral:rRNA from 1 species
GACGAACGCUGGCGGCGUGCUUAACACAUGCAAGUCGAACGAUGAAGCCGGAGCUUGCUCUGGUGAAUUAGUGGCGAACGGGUGAGUAACACGUGAGUAACCUGCCCUUGACUCUGGGAUAACUGCGGGAAACUGUAGCUAAUACCGGAUACGACCCUCGGAGGCAUCUCCUGGGGGUGGAAAGAAUUUCGGUCAAGGAUGGACUCGCGGCCUAUCAGCUAGUUGGUGAGGUAAAGGCUCACCAAGGCGACGACGGGUAGCCGGCCUGAGAGGGUGACCGGCCACACUGGGACUGAGACACGGCCCAGACGCCGACGGGGGGCAGCAGUGGGGAAUAUUGCACAAUGGGCGCAAGCCUGAUGCAGCAACGCCGCGUGAGGGAUGACGGCCUUCGGGUUGUAAACCUCUUUUAGCAGGGAAGAAGCGAAAGUGACGGUACCUGCAGAAAAAGCACCGGCUAACUACGUGCCAGCCGCCGCGGUAA